AGUAAAUCUAAUUUUUAAGAAUUAUUCAAUAAAGGUACAGCUUUAUUGAAAAAGGAAACAACCUAAACCUUAGGAUAAUGAAUAUUUUUAAAUAGGUAAAAGGCCAAGUUGGCCUAAAAGCAGCCAUCUUUAAAGAUAGCGUCAAAGCUUCACCUUAAACACACCUUAAAUCUCAUUAUUUUUUCAUAAUCCAACAAUUCUACUAAGCCAUUCUAUACUUUUAUAGAAAAGUUUAUGUUAGGACUAGUAACACAGAAUAAUUUCUCUUACAUGUAAGUUUAAAUCAACCCGAAUACCUCCUUGAUAAUUACUCAAAUUUGAACCUUAAGUAGUACCUAUUAAUUACAAAAACCCUACUUAACUUAUUGUUAAUCAAACAUAUGGAUAUGAAAGAAAGAUUAAAAAAUUAAGAAGGAACUCGGCAAACACAAGUCCCGCCUGUUUACCAAAAACAUCGCCUUUUGAAAAGUAUAAAAGGUAACGCCUGCCCACUGACAGUAUGUUUAACGGCCGCGGUAUUCUGACCGUGCGAAGGUAGCGUAAUCACUUGUCUUUUAAAUGAAGACUCGUAUGAAAGGCAUCACGAGAACUUAGCUGUCUCCUUAAUUCAAUCAGUGAAACUGAUACCCCUGUAAAAAAGCAGGGAUGAUUACAUAAGACGAGAAGACCCUGUGGAGCUUAAAACAUAAGCUACUUCUAUACUCUACUAACUUAUAGUACUAAAAUACAAACCUAGCCUAAGUUUUCUGUUGGGGCGGCUGUGGAGAAAAACUUAUCCUCCAUGAAGAAAAAACUUUGAUCUACCGCUCUUAGUAUUAGCAAGCCUAACUUAAAUUGAUCCAAUUUUUGAUCAACGGACCAAGUUACCCCAGGGAUAACAGCGCAAUCCAUUUCAAGAGUCCCUAUCGACAAAUGGGUUUACGACCUCG
rnacentral:rRNA from 1 species